GAUUGCAGAUUCAUUCAAUUGGAAGACUGAAAAAUUUGAGGAAUUUAUCGCCAAUCAAGAAGUACCAGAUGAUAAAGUGCAAGAUUUUGAGAAUUUUGUCAGGCAGAGGGUGAUGGAAGACAAAAGCAAGUAUGAUGAAGUAUGUG